GCUCCGCUGCACAUCUCGCUGCAAGCUCCGAUCAACUUCACCGCUGGCAACUUCGAUCAAUUUCAUCGCCGCUCCGCAGCUCCUCUUCCGAGCUCCGCCGAGCAGCUUCUUCCGCCAGCUUCAGCGCCGCCGAGAUCCUCCGCCAAUCUUUGGCGCGCCAUCUGCAGCAGUCCACCGGCCAUCUCCCGCUAGCAAAUCCCAGCGGCAAAAAACUUCGGCGGCAAACUUCAGCGGCAAGGCUUUCUCCGCCAAGCACCACCGCUGACCCAAGCGAUAGCCCCGCUCCGCCGGCCAGGAACUCCACCACUCGAGAGCUCCACUUCCGCUGAUAAGCAACACUCCGAGCUUCCGCUAGCCAACCUCAGCGGCCCCGCCAGUGCGCCGCCGGCUAGAAAGCAUAGAACCUGCAACUAUGGACACCCAUUUGCAGAUCAGUUUGCAUCAGUCCUCCAGCUACUUGCCAUGAGCGGAACCGCCAGCUACCAUCAGCGGCUAACACCCCGCCAAACUCCCCCGCUCCGCCAUACCCGCUGAGCAUGCUCCACUGGGUGCAAGGUUGGUCACCGCUGCGCGCAUACUCGCUGACCACACACGCCGCUGACCAAGAGCCACCGCUGGCUAUCAACGUUAAGAGGCACCGCCAGCGGUUUUAGUUGAGUAUCCUGAAGGUGAUCAGUGCACCAUUCAGCGGUCACUUACCGCCACUGCGUCAUAGUUGCAAACUAUCCGCUGAACGAGAUCUCCUCUCCGCUCCGCUAGGGAACCACCGCCCAACCUCCUUCGCCGGCGAACACCCUCGCUGGCCAAGUGCUCCGCUUUACUCGGCGUCUCCGCCGCACUUGGAUCAUCCGCCGAGCUCUAGACCCGCCUCAGCGUCUCCGGCGGUAGAUCACCGCCGACCUUGCACCGCCAACCUUCCAUCAAGCGGCCUCCGAACUCCAAUCAUGGCUGCCAACCAUCGAACCGGGUCUCCGCUGAGCUCCAAACCUCCGCUGAGUUCCAAACACCACAGGAGGCCACCGCCGGACUUCUUCCCCCGCCGAACUUCUCCCUCCGCCAGCACAACUCCACAGUAGCUAGGCACCGCUGCCAGCUACUCCGCCAGAGCACCCUCAGCGGCAAAACCUCCGCCGAGCAUCUUCACCGCUGAGCAUCUCCGCCCAGGAUUGGCAGCGCGUCGGCACCGCCAAGCUCCAUCGUCGGCAUCGAAAUCUGGACAGGCGGAGCUCCAAAACCCAGCGACCAGCGGAGCUUUAGUCCUCCCAAACCUGCGAUCUCUGGCAGAGUUUCACGUUUCCGAGCGUCCAUUUUCAAUCUUCCCGAUUUGAGCACCCGGUCUCUUCACUGGGUUCAUAUGCAGCAAGGCCACCCAUCGAGAUAAGUCUUCUCG
rnacentral:lncRNA from 1 species